AGCGAACGCUGGCGGCAGGCUUAACACAUGCGAGUCGAGCGGGCACUUUCGGGUGUCAGCGGCGGACGGGUGAGUAACGCGUGGGAACGUGCCCUCUGGUUCGGAAUAACUCAGGGAAACUUGAGCUAAUACCGGAUACGCCCUUUUGGGGAAAGGCUUGCUGCCGGAGGAUCGGCCCGCGUCUGAUUAGCUAGUUGGUGAGGUAACGGCUCACCAAGGCGACGAUCAGUAGCUGGUCUGAGAGGAUGAUCAGCCACACUGGGACUGAGACACGGCCCAGACUCCUACGGGAGGCAGCAGUGGGGAAUAUUGGACAAUGGGCGCAAGCCUGAUCCAGCCAUGCCGCGUGAGUGAUGAAGGCCUUAGGGUUGUAAAGCUCUUUUAUCCGGGACGAUAAUGACGGUACCGGAGGAAUAAGCCCAGGCUAACUUCGUG
rnacentral:rRNA from 1 species